rnacentral:rRNA from 1 species
UACGAAGGGGGCUAGCGUUGCUCGGAAUUACUGGGCGUAAAGCGCACGUAGGCGGAUUUCUAAGUCAGGGGUGAAAUCCCGGGGCUCAACUCCGGAACUGCCUUUGAUACUGGGUAUCUAGAGUCCAGAAGAGGUGAGUGGAAUUCCGAGUGUAGAGGUGAAAUUCGUAGAUAUUCGGAGGAACACCAGUGGCGAAGGCGGCUCACUGGUCUGGUACUGACGCUGAGGUGCGAAAGCGUGGGGAGCAAACAGG